UACGUAGGUGGCAAGCGUUAUCCGGAAUUAUUGGGCGUAAAGCGCUCGCAGGCGGUUUCUUAAGUCUGAUGUGAAAGCCCACGGCUCAACCGUGGAGGGUCAUUGGAAACUGGGAGACUUGAGUGCAGAAGAGGAGAGUGGAAUUCCACGUGUAGCGGUGAAAUGCGUAGAGAUGUGGAGGAACACCAGUGGCGAAGGCGACUCUCUGGUCUGUAACGUGACGCUGAGGAGCGAAAGCGUGGGGAGCCAAACAGGG
rnacentral:rRNA from 1 species